AUUGAACGCUGGCGGCAUGCUUUACACAUGCAAGUCGAACGGUAACAGGCCGCAAGGUGCUGACGAGUGGCGAACGGGUGAGUAAUGCAUCGGAACGUGCCCAGUCGUGGGGGAUAACGCAGCGAAAGCUGCGCUAAUACCGCAUACGAUCUGUGGAUGAAAGCGGGGGACCGUAAGGCCUCGCGCGAUUGGAGCGGCCGAUGUCAGAUUAGGUAGUUGGUGGGGUAAAGGCUCACCAAGCCGACGAUCUGUAGCUGGUCUGAGAGGACGACCAGCCACGCUGGGACUGAGACACGGCCCAGACUCCUACGGGAGGCAGCAGUGGGGAAUUUUGGACAAUGGGCGCAAGCCUGAUCCAGCAAUGCCGCGUGCAGGAAGAAGGCCUUCGGGUUGUAAACUGCUUUUGUACGGAACGAAAAGGCUCUGGUUAAUACCUGGGGCUCAUGACGGUACCGUAAGAAUAAGCACCGGCUAACUACGUGCCAGCCGCCGCCGUAACAC
rnacentral:rRNA from 1 species